GAUGAACGCUGGCGGCGUGCCUAACACAUGCAAGUCGAGCGAUUCUCUUCGGAGAAGAGCGGCGGACGGGUGAGUAACGCGUGGGUAACCUGCCCUGUACACACGGAUAACAUACCGAAAGGUAUGCUAAUACGAGAUAAUAUACUUUUAUCGCAUGGUAGAAGUAUCAAAGCUCCGGCGGUACAGGAUGGACCCGCGUCUGAUUAACUAGUUGGUAAGGUAACGGCUUACCAAGGCGACGAUCAGUAGCCGACCUGAGAGGGUGAUCGGCCACAUUGGAACUGAGACACGGUCCAAACUCCUACGGGAGGCAGCGGUGGGGAAUAUUGCACAAUGGGCGAAAGCCUGAUGCAGCAACGCCGCGUGAGUGAUGAUGGCCUUCGGGUCGUAAAGCUCUGUCCUCAAGGAAGAUAAUGACGGUACUUGAGGAGGAAGCCCCGGCUAACUACGUGCCAGCCGCCGCAGUAA
rnacentral:rRNA from 1 species